UGAACCUGCGGAAGGAUCAUUACCGAGUGCGGGCCCCUCGGGGCCCAACCUCCCACCCGUGUUGCCCGAACCUAUGUUGCCUCGGCGGGCCCCGCGCCCGCCGACGGCCCCCCUGAACGCUGUCUGAAGUUGCAGUCUGAGACCUAUAACGAAAUUAGUUAAAACUUUCAACAACGGAUCUCUUGGUUCCGGCAUCGAUGAAGAACGCAGCGAAAUGCGAUAACUAAUGUGAAUUGCAGAAUUCAGUGAAUCAUCGAGUCUUUGAACGCACAUUGCGCCCUCUGGUAUUCCGGAGGGCAUGCCUGUCCGAGCGUCAUUGCUGCCCUCAAGCCCGGCUUGUGUGUUGGGCCCCGUCCCCCCCGCCGGGGGGACGGGCCCGAAAGGCAGCGGCGGCACCGCGUCCGGUCCUCGAGCGUAUGGGGCUUCGUCACCCGCUCUAGUAGGCCCGGCCGGCGCCAGCCGACCCCCAACCUUUAAUUAUCUCAGGUUGACCUC
rnacentral:rRNA from 1 species